rnacentral:rRNA from 1 species
UACGAGGGAGGCAAGCGUUGUUCGGAAUUAUUGGGCGUAAAGGGCGCGUAGGCGGUUUGACAAGUCUGAUGUGAAAUCUAUGGGCUCAACCCAUAGCCUGCAUUAGAAACUGUCGGGCUUGAGUAUGGGAGAGGUGAGUGGAAUUUCCGGUGUAGCGGUGAAAUGCGUAGAUAUCGGAAGGAACACCUGUGGCGAAAGCGGCUCACUGGACCAUAACUGACGCUGAGGCGCGAAAGCUAGGGGAGCAAACGGG